rnacentral:rRNA from 1 species
UACGAAGGGGGCUAGCGUUGCUCGGAAUCACUGGGCGUAAAGCGCACGUAGGUGGGUCAUUUAGUCAGGGGUGAAAUCCUGGAGCUCAACUCCAGAACUGCCUUUGAUACUGAUGAUCUUGGAGUCCGGGAGAGGUGGGUGGAACUGCGAGUGUAGAGGUGAAAUUCGUAGAUAUUCGCAAGAACACCAGUGGCGAAGGCGGCUCACUGGCCCGGUACUGACACUGAGGUGCGAAAGCGUGGGGAGCAAACAGGAUUAGAAACCCCAGUAGUCC